AUGCUUGCUUCGGCAGCACAUAUACUAAAAUUGGCAUGAUCCAGAGGAGAUUAGCAUGGCCCCUGCACAAGGAUGGCACACAAAUUUGUGAAGCGUUCCAUAUUAAA